CCUCAUUGAACCCGUAGGCCAUAGAAGAAACAAAGGCUACAGGUCAUCUUCACUGGCGCCAUGGCUAAGUUCACAAAGCAACUCAAGGACAAGCUCUCUUGUCUCGUUGGUCCUUUCAAAGGUUGCAGCAACGGGGACUCUCAUGAAAAAGGUACAUAAAAGCCAAAAAAUGUUUCUGUUUGCGAGAAAGAGAUGAUGAUCUUACAUAUUGAGAGCACGAAUUGCUUCGUUUUUUAGGCCAUGUUGGGGAUUUGAAUGAAUCGAAGGUGGCUUCUGUUCAGGUUACAGUUAUUUCGUGCUUGUUAAUCUUUAAUCGAUGGUCUUUUUGGAACAAAACUUAUAUGCAAAAUUUCUCUGCAGGGAGACGGUCUAAUUAACCGUUUUUAUAUGCAAUGUACAAAUUUUAAAGUAAAAAUAAUAAUUGAUUGGACUAUCUCUCGAUCAGUAGGAAAUGCUUUGUAUAAAGUUUUUUAAAAAUCCCUUUUUGCUUGGAUAUAGAGUUUGUGACUCGUGUUUUCAAAUGCUCAUUGUAGAGGGAUUCGUGUGAGUAACAUGAGAGGGAGAGGGCCGGCACUUCCGGUAGCGUCGAAGCCACCGCCGCCCCAACACAAUUAAAAGUUAUGAGUUUUGAGACUACGUACUACGUCCCAUGAUUCUACUUCCCCUGUUUGAGUGUCUCGAGUUUGUUCUCCCCGUGUUUAAGUUAUUAAGACUCAUGCGAUCAUUUUAUCCGUAAAAUGUGCUCAAUGCUUUGAUUCUCUCUCUCUCUCACACGCACACAAAGAGCCGUGGGUAAGUUGAUUGUUU
rnacentral:lncRNA from 1 species